rnacentral:misc_RNA from 1 species
CAGAAUCUAGGGUAAACUUCCUGUGGGUUAUAAGGGAAAAAGAAUCAGAGUUGGGAGAUGGGUUUGAAGAGAGGGUGAAGGAAAGAGGAAUUAUAGUGAGGGAUUGGGUGGAUCAAAUGGAGAUAUUAAUGCACCCAAGUAUACAAGGGUUCUUGAGCCACUGUGGAUGGAACUCAGUACUAGAGAGCAUAUGUGCAGGAGUGCCAAUUCUUGCAUGGCCCAUGAUGGCAGAGCAGCACUUAAAUGCAAGAAUGGUGGUGGAGGAGAUAAAAAUAGGGUUGAGAGUAGAAACCUGUAAUGGAUCAGUGAGAGGGUUUGUGAAAUGGGAAGGUUUAGAAAAGAUGGUGAAGGAGUUGAUGGAAGGAGAGAUGGGGAAGAAGGUAAGAAAAAAGGUGAACGAGUUUGCAGAGAUGGCCAAGAAAGCUAUGGAGGAAGGUACUGGCUCAUCCUGGCGCACGUUAGACAUUCCUCUUCAGGAGUUUUGCCGUAGCAAAGAUGACGUGAAUGAGAAUG